ACGAAGUGCUUGCCCUUCAGCUUACGGCGGACGGGUGAGUAAUGCUUAGGAAUCUGCCUAUUAGCGGGGGACAACUGUUUCGAAAGGAACGCUAAUACCGCAUACGUCCUACGGGAGAAAGCAGGGGAUCUUCGGACCUCUGUGCUAAUAGAUGAGCCUAAGUCGGAUUAGCUAGUUGGUGGGGUAAAGGCCUACCAAGGCGACGAUCUGUACCGGGUCUGAGAGGAUGAUCCGCCACACUGGGAACUGAGACACGGCCCAGACUCCUACGGGAGGCAGCAGUGGGGAAUAUUGGACAAUGGGCGAAAGCCUGAUCCAGCCAUGCCGCGUGUGUGAAGAAGGCCUUUUGGUUGUAAAGCACUUUAAGCGAGGAGGAGGCUUCUUUGGUUAAUACCCAAAGUAAGUGGACGUUACUCGCAGAAUAAGCACCGGCUAACUCUGUGCCAGCAGCCGCGGUAAUACAGAGGGUGCAAGCGUUAAUCGGAUUUACUGGGCGUAAAGCGUGCGUAGGCGGCUAAAUUAAGUCAAAUGUGAAAUCCCCGAGCUUAACUUGGGAAUUGCAUUCGAUACUGGUUUAGCUACCAGUAUGGGAGAGGAUGGGUACAAAUUCCCAGGUGUAGCGGUGCAAAUGCCGUAGGGAUCUGGAGGGAAUAACGCAUUGCGCAAAGGCAGCACUCUCCGCUUAAUAAUGACGCGAAGGCACAAACAGCCAUUGGGGGG
rnacentral:rRNA from 1 species